rnacentral:lncRNA from 1 species
CUUGAAGAGACAAAGAGAAUGGUACCUUGCACAACACCUAGUUCGCCGUGGUUUGGCCGGAAACUGCCUUGAAAGCCUCGGAGGUCGCCGGAAACUGGGUAUUUUUCAAAUGAGUAUAACUUCUUCAAUACUCAACGAAAUUGAGUGAAACAAAAAGGAAAGUUGUAGUACUUGACGAGACGAAGAGAUUGAUACCUACCUCGACUCCUAACUCACCGGUUAUUCGCCGGAAAGAGCCUCGAAAGCUCCGGCCAAACUUUGAACUUGUCGAUCUCCGUGUUCUUACGUCCAAAAACUUCCAACGAAGCACUCCGAGCUUCCUUGGGACCUCACUAAGCUCACUAUGAGCUUGGAUUGUC